rnacentral:rRNA from 1 species
GAUGAACGCUGGCGGCGUGCCUAAUACAUGCAAGUCGAGCGAACAGAUGAGGAGCUUGCUCCUCUGACGUUAGCGGCGGACGGGUGAGUAACACGUGGAUAACCUACCUAUAAGACUGGGAUAACUUCGGGAAACCGGAGCUAAUACCGGAUAAUAUAUUGAACCGCAUGGUUCAAUAGUGAAAGACGGUUUUGCUGUCACUUAUAGAUGGAUCCGCGCCGCAUUAGCUAGUUGGUAAGGUAACGGCUUACCAAGGCAACGAUGCGUAGCCGACCUGAGAGGGUGAUCGGCCACACUGGAACUGAGGCACGGGCCAGACUCCUACGGGAGGCAGCAGUAGGGAAUCUUCCGCAAUGGGCGAAAGCUUGACGGAGCAACGCCGCGUGAGUGAUGAAGGUCUUCGGAUCGUAAAACUCUGUUAUUAGGGAAGAACAAAUGUGUAAGUAACUAUGCACGUCUUGACGGUACCUAAUCAGAAAGCCACGGCUAACUACGUG